UUCCCGGGAACCUCAACCCUAGAUAUCCGCGUAAACAAUGUAUUCAUUAAAAAGGAGACCGAGCGCAUCAUCCUCCUCAUCCCACGGUACACCACUCCAUCUGCUGCGGCGAUCCCAAAAGCCAGUGAAAUGCCAUAAAUAUAACUCUUGAAGCUCUUGUCCCCUUGAAGCACAAUCUCACCAUCACAGUCCAAUUCAAUCAACUGCCUGCUUGGUCCACAGGUCCUGUCUCCUUCAUUAAUGUCUGACAAAAGUCAUUAAAGCCACAGAUGAAGCAAAUAACAAGAAGGCACACCCCACAGUGUUCAAGAAAUGUGACUCACAGCUCAACUCAAGGCAUUCACCUGCAGCAGGAUCUUCAGGUUUGGCAAGCUCCAAAAUUUCCAAGGCAAGUCAUUUUGCUUGGUCUCAAAUGCCAUUAACUAGAUAGUGAUUGUCUUGCCAGGAUGCCCCAUUCAUGUUCAUCUUACCGUGUCUUUGAUGAAGGCCUUGGAUUAUUUUUUGGUGCAUGUCAGGGCACUAAGGAUCAUUAAGGUUCAGUUGGUAAAUUAUAUAAGAAGAGGAAGUUUAAAUGAGUUUCUUUCUUUCUUUCUUUCUUUCUUUCUUUCUUUCUUUCUUUCUUUCUUUCUUUCUUUAUUUUUCAAAUUUGUUGAGGUAGCUUGACUUACAAGGUUGCAUAUUUAAGAUUGUUCUUGGGGAGUUACUGGAGUUACUUUCUCAGUCUUUCCAUCACAAAUACGCACACACAUAAUAUCCACCACUAACAAUGAAUAUGAAUCUUCCUCAAAUGUAGUUCUUCAAAACUUGAACUGAGAAUAUUUUCUACCCUUAGUUACAUGGAGCAGAAUGAUUUCAAAGUUUACUUAGAUUCUGCGGUGCCUAUUGGUGGAGCAUUUAACGGAAGUUCACUGGCUCUCUGAUGGACAGCACCAGUCCUACAGCAUUACUCACAAAUGUAGAGAGAGAGAGAGAAGAGCACAUCUGCCAUUGCUUUGUUGCAACUCAAAGUAAUCAAACAAUAUACUGUGCACUUGACAAUAAUGACCCAUUAAGAAAGAAACCAAUAGAGUCAGCACUUUAAAAAAAGAUGUUUGCCUAGCCGGGAUUUGAAUGAGGACACAGGAGAUGUUUCCAACUUAAAAAACGGAUAAUAGGAGAUCAGGCUUGAAUCUGCACACUCUAUCACUGCUUACUUUUGGGGAACACAACAGGGUUUUAUGCAUGCACUGUACAAUAUAAUAUAAUAUUUAGUUUCAUCGUGCAGUGGUUAGCACACCAAAUGGUUGUGAAUUUGUAUGUUCUCUCUGUCUCUACAUUGGUGGGACUGCGCAUUGAAUGAUUUUGUUUUCUUCCCACAUCCCAAGAAUGUGUGUGUGUUAGGGUAACUGGUGACUUUACAUCCUCAUGACUGUGCUGCAGCUCUUUGGGGUCUUUUGCCAAACCAUGUUAUGGUGGCCUUAAUCAUCAGCAAUCUAUUUGUCACUCUGUCAGUGCUGUGAACCUAGCAGGUGAUUUAAUUCCCUGCAAAGAUGCAAAGAGCAGCCUCUACCAGAGUGCUCUGUUUUUGUUCAAGGACUGGAGCGAACUGAAUUCCAUUAGGAAUACUUCUGUUUAUUAUUUAAAAAGGUGUGUCACACAUGCGCUUGGGGGGCAGUCAAAGGGUCUAAGUGAGCAUGAAAUAAUUAAAGAUGAGGGAUUGGAAUGAAGCCCUAACACAUUUCUCCCUCUU